rnacentral:lncRNA from 1 species
CUGAACAAAUAUAUCAAAUGGCCAAAGCUCAUACCCUGAGCAUAAAAUAGGAUACGCCGUGGACUAAUCACACCGCCACGGAAGGUGUCAUGCCCUUGUGUCAAGAGGACAUGCCUGUGGUACCCCCACAGGUGGUUAGCUCAAGUAUACCCUAAGGAUCAAACUACAAAAUGUAAGCCAAAAGGGGUUCAAAUCACAAGGCUUACAUGACCAUAUUCAAAUGAAAUUGAAUUAUCAAAUACAAACAUACCCAAUUAUUACAAGAUAUCAAUGAUCAAAACAACUUCGAGUGUGAACGAAAAUAUACGAACAAUGGUACAAACGAAUAAAGUCUCCAAAACAUGUUGACACGAUUAACUAGUUCAAAGAGUACAAAUACGAAUUCAAAUAUCA